rnacentral:tRNA from 1 species
GCCUGGCUGGCUCAGUCGAUAGAGCAUGCGACUCUCAAUCUCAGGGUCAUGAGUUCAAGCCCCAUAUUGGGCA